rnacentral:lncRNA from 1 species
GGAUUGGGAUAUUCCGACUCCUUAAGGGCCUGGCGCACAUAAGGUGUGACCUUUUCAUUCCCGUUGUUAUGGAGGGCCACAUCUGCCAGAGCCUGGAGUCUGCGAAGGCCGGGACCCGGUUCCCCGGCCCACAGUGGGGGUGUGCAAACCCGAGAGAACUGGGUUGCAAAUUCGUGAAGAAUCAGCAUCAUGUUUGGCAGCUGAGUAUUGGAGCCAGGAGCCUGCCAUGAGGUUUUGAGAACAGAGUGCUGUUUUAGAGCUGGCAGCAGCAUCUCAGCCCAAGAGAAGGCAUGACUCCACAGUUUCUGCAACAACAGAGCCGGGGAAAGGAGGACGCAGCAAGCGCUGAAUAUUAACCAGCAAAGGUAGAUGCUUCAAUAUCGAAACCACCGGGACCCGCAUGUGCAAAGCUACUUAAUGAGGGUGUAAUCAAACACAGUCUACCAGAAGGAAAUUAAUUAGAGUCCGGAGAGCAAGCAGGAAGCAGAACCAGGCUGCUCCCCCUCCUGGCUCUAGAACAUCACUGGCAGCCACUGCUAAGGGAGGGACAAGGCUGGGGGAUGCCAGGCCUCAGCUGGGUGCCAGGGCUCCUGUCCUCUUCCCCGUGACAUUCCGGCUUGCCUUUGGGGGACACC